UAGGUACAUAUUUCCAGAACUCUUAUAUUUAUAUAAAAGAACUGUUAAUUACAUCUCCGUGGAGAAAACCCCUGAUUAAGAAUUCCAACAUAUCUAUUACAUGAGAUUGCAACACAUUCCUAUUACAAUAUGCUACCAGAAAAAUCCUCCUUGCGGUCGACAUUGAACUCCGGCCUGGGAACUUGAAGUUUAUCUGCGUAGAUUAUCUUCGAUACCGUUAUGUUUGAUGGUUUUCCAUAUAUCUCUUUAUCUUUGAGGCAUAGGAUACAUCCAUGCAUUUUUAAUAUUUAACGCUCAUAUCAUGGAAUUCAUUUUAGAGAACCCCUGCUUGGAGCAUAAUUGUUGUUUCUAUUUGGUUGAUGGUUUAUGCCAUAAUUGUGUACUUGUUAUAUGGAUGUUGUAUGCCAUGGAAUUCGUAUGAAAGAACCCAUGUCAUAGCGUAGCUUUAUUAUUUUAUGGCUCAUGCCGCGUAAUUCGUAUGGAAGAAUCCAUGCCAUAAGAUUUUUUUUAUAUUUUUUUUUUAUCAACUUGUGACUUAUGCCGUGGAAUUCGUAUGAAGGAACCCACGACGUAGGAUACUAUGUAUUUUUUUAUUUUACGACUUAUGUCAUGGAAUUCAUAUGCAAAGAACCCAUGACAUAGCACAAUUUGUAUUUCCUUUGGUUUUAUAACUUAUGCAAUGGAAUUCAUAUGAGAAGAACCCAUGACAUAGCGUAAUUGUGUAUUGGGUCAAGGCUUAGUCAUUUAAUGGCUCGCGUCAUGGAAUUCGUGAGAAAGAACCCAUGCACGAAACGUAUUUUCAUGUCAUGGAAUUCAAAUGUAAGGAACCCAUGCGUAGAGCAUUUUAUGAUUUUUUCCACACAUGGCAUGUCCACGUGAAGAAAGAAAAAAAAAUGUUCCUUGAUCCGAACCAAAAGGCCAAACCUAAUGACAUGAUUUGGUGAAUUUAUGUUCCUUGAUCCGAACCAAGCGGCCGAACCUAAGGACAUGGUUUGGUACAUUUUAUGUUCCUUGAUCCGAACCGACCGGACGAACCUAAGGACAUGAUUUGGUGGAUUUUAUGUUCCUUGACCCGAACCAAACGGCCGAACCUAAGGAUAUGA
rnacentral:lncRNA from 1 species